rnacentral:rRNA from 1 species
CCUACGGGUGGCAGCAGUAGGGAAUAUUGCUCAAUGGGGGAGACCCUGAAGCAGCAACGCCGCGUGAAGGAAGAAGGUUUUCGGAUUUUAAACUCCUUUUGUUAGAGAAGAUAAUGACGCUAUCCAACGAAUAAGCACCGUCUACCUCCGUGCCAGCAGCCCCGGUAAUACGGAAGGUGCAAGCGUUACUCGGAAGCACUGGGCGUAAAGAGCGCGUAGGCGGGAUAGCAAGUCAGAUGUGAAAUCCUAUGGCUUAACCAUAGAACUGCAGUUGAAACUGUUAUUCUAGAGUAUGGGAGAGGUAGGUGGAAUGCUUGGUGUAGGGGUAAAAUCCGUAGAGAUCAAGAGGAAUACUCAUUGCGAAGGCGGCCUGCUAGCACAUAACUGACGCUGAUGCGCGAAAGCGUGGGGAGCGAACAGGAUUAGAGACCCUUGUAGUC